ACUCCUUCAAACCAGUACCUGGAAGGCUCAUCUAAGGUCUUCUAGGCCUAGCAUUCUAACAUCAAAUGAUCAUCUGAUGAUCAUUUAAGGUUGUUGAAAAAUUCUGGUUGUGAACUUCUGUGUCUUUUUAGUUCUUCAUGAUCAUGCAGAAUUGCAAGCCUUUUCACAUUCCUUUAGAAACUCCCCAACUUUUAAAUCAUUUGAAGAAAAGGUCGAAAACUUAAAGUCUAAAGUAGGGGGAACCAAGCCUGCUGGUGGUGAUUUUGGAGAAGUCUUGAAUUCGGCUGCAAAUGCUAGUGCCACCACCACGGAGCCUCUUCCAGAACAGACACAGGAGAGCCUGUGAGAUUCCUACCUUUGUUCUGCUACCCACUGCCAGAUGCUGCAAGCGAGGUCCAAGCACAUCUUGUCAACAUGCAUUGCCAUGAAUUUCUACCAGAUGUGCUUUUAUUUAGCUUUACAUAUUCCUUUGACCAAAUAGUUUGUGGGUUAAACAAAAUGAAAAUAUCUUCACCUCUAUUCUUGGGAAACACCCUUUAGUGUACAUUUAUGUUCCUUUAUUUAGGAAACACCAUU
rnacentral:sRNA from 1 species